UUCUUUACCUCUCAUUCUCUUCUAUCUUCUCCUCUCUGGUUCUCUUCUUCUCUUCUUCUCUGUGAUUCACUCGGUAUUUUUUCUCUAUCAAAGUAACUGUGAAUCAGAAUGAGGUUUUUCUUCCUCUUCUUCUUCAAAUAGAUCCAUCACAAAUGAAAUUCUUUGACCUAUAGUUUUGAGAUUUCUCUCAUCCGAAUUAGUAUGAAUAAAUCUAAGGUUCUCAGAUAGAUUUCUCUACUUCGCGAGUUUCUAGGGUUUCGGAUUUGACAGAUCGUGAAGAGGAACAACGCUUUCCUCGUCAAAGAGUUUGGAAAUAGAAAUCAGAUGGUUCAGUUCUACAACGUUAGCACCUUCAUACAGUGGCAUACAAUCACGAUCUUUUCCACUUUUUGUAUAUACAUCUGAUUAUGGUCCCAUCAAUGACUUCUCUCAAGAAGCACCAUGAUAAGUCAGCAUUUUCUGGUAAAGAUAUCCUUUAUCUUAAUCGGCAUCAAACUGAGGAGUGGAAAUGAUGGAUUUUAUUCCAUAUCUAUUUACUGUGUAGAAGGCCUCGUUUAUUGACAUGCCUAGGAAUGGGUAAAUGUUGCACUCAUCAUGUAUUUGUAGCAUCCUCGGAAAAGGUGGACCUAUCCAGAGAAGUUUAAUUUUUGUACUUUAAAACAUGUCUUAUUUUUGAUGUACCACUACUUCACGGCAACAGAGAUCUAUAAUGCGAUUCAUGUUUUCAUUGCCGCAUAUGUCUGGAGGACCGGAUUUGGGGCUUUCUCCUAUUACUACAUUCAAAAGGAUUUUAGUCUUGGAAGAUUUGCUCAGUUUUGUAUAUAUUACUAGUAUGUAUAUUGAGCAGUAGGAAGUUAUAGUUUUCAUUUUUUCCUUCGUUUCUAACUAAUCCAAGUUUUCUAAUCUGACAUUUUCUAAUGCAGAUGAUGUGGCGGCUUAAUUUCUUUGUGUCAUUUUGCUAUGUUGUUCUUAAUUUCCUCGUGUUUACUUGCAUAAUUUUUGCGACUCUGUUGUUCCCGGGGAAACCACUCGCAGGGGUUUCUAUGUUUAUGACAAUAAGCGCAAGGCAAGGCAUGAUCCUGAAAUUGCAAAAUACAUUGAGAAAGCAAGGAGAAUGUCCGAUGCAAAAGUUGAUCCCAAGUGAUGAAGUUAAUGAAGGUAUCAUACAAGGACAUUAUCGAGAUGAUAUUUUCCCCAGUCGUGGAUGAGGCAUGCCGUGUCUGAUGCAAAAGUUGAUCCCAAGUUAAUGAAGUUAUCAGACAAGGACAUCAUCGAGAUGAUAUUUUUCCCAGUCGUGAAUGAGUCAUGUCGUCUCCUACAUGAAGGAAUUGUAGUUAAGGCAUCAGACCUUGACAUUGCCGCCGUUUCGGGGAUGGGAUUUCCACCAUACAAGUUGUUAUGUAAACUUUACGCUUGAUAGUAGAUAACAGUGGUUGACAUUGUACAAUCUUGCACAAUUCUUUUAUAAUGAUAAAAAUUUGACAUUUCCGCCGUUAUGGGAUGGAUGGGCUUCCCACCAUACUGGUUGUCAGUGAAUCUUACACGACAAUUUGUCUUGGUCAGGGGAGGAAUCAUGUUCUGGGCUGACUCACUCGCAUCCAAAUACAUUUGUUCGAGGUUAGAAGAAUGGACCAAGAUGUAUGGAGAUUUCUUUAAGCCAUAUGCCUACUUGGAUAAACGAGCUUCCAAGGGAGCUAAACUAGUAAUAAAGACAGAAAACAAUCUUUUGUUUUCAUUCUUUUUGAGCGUACAUCAAUUUUUAUUAAUAUCUUCGCUAAUCAAAUACUAUGUAGAGUGCAUCAAUGAUGGAUCAAGCUAUGUCUCGGCUAUAAGAAGGUUAAGCGAUUAUCUUCUUGGUAUUGUUGUAUUAUCCCUGUUGUUGUAGAAAGUUCAGAAAAAUAAAAAGAACCCACAGUAAAAGUUGCACUGAAGAUGAAAGUUAGUUUUAGUAAGAAUUAUUAAGGUUGUAGAACUGGAAUAAUAAUACUCUGUAACCAUCCUUUUAUAUUUCUCAUAGGUCCGUGACUUAUUCGAAAUUUAUGAUUAAACAUGUAUCCUCUUUAACUUAUCUUCAAUUACUGGUAUUUUCCAUGUCAGGAUACAAGGAUGCAGACCCAGUAAAAGAAAAUCUCUCGUUAUUUCAUUUCAGAUCAGGUCUCGAUCGUUAUAUCUGGAUAAUUGAAUGAUAUAUGCAUAUUAUCACCCAAAGGUUGAGAAAAUGGAUGGAAAAACUCGAGGAAUCUGAUAGAAAACUUAACAGUGUCUUGUUGGUGGCUUGAAGUUUGUUGAGGAUCAGUUGUCCGAGCAUUGGGGUUUAUGGUCGCUGCAUCACCAUGUGCAUUAAAAGUAGCUCGUCUGGCUUGUGAAGUUGCAGUCCAUGCUUCUGCAAGUAGGGUAUUGAUCUCAUCUAUGGUUUUUAUUUCGGUUUGAAACAGAGUUUUAUUACUAUUUAUUUGUAGUUUGUCUAUAAGAAUGUAUAGUUUUCAGUUUUUUACAGUGUUGUGUAAUUUUUUCACAUCUGGAACUUGAGUGAUUGUAGUUUUUU